rnacentral:tRNA from 1 species
CUGCCGUGGCUCAGGGGUAGAGCAGCGCACUCGCAAUGCGCAGGUCCCAGAUUGCAGGUAGGGUAGGCCA